rnacentral:rRNA from 1 species
AUUGAACGCUGGCGGCAGGCCUAACACAUGCAAGUCGAACGCGUGGCGGACGGGUGAGUAAUGUCUGGGAAACUGCCUGAUGGAGGGGGAUAACUACUGGAAACGGUAGCAAAUACCGCAUACCAUCGGAUGUGCCCAGAUGGUAUUAGCUAGUAGGUGGGGUAAAGGCUCACCUAGGCGACGACCCCUCGCUGGUCUGAGAGGAUGACCAGCAACACUGGGACUGAGACACGGUCCAGACUCCUACGGGAGGCAGCAGUGGGGAAUAUUGCACAAUGGGCGCAAGCCUGAUGCAGCCAUGCCGCGUGUAUGAAGAAGGCCUUAGGGUUGUAAAGUACUUUCAGAGGGGAGGCGUUACCGACAGAAGAAGCACCGGCUAACUCCGUGCCAGCAGCCGCGGUAAUAC